CAAAAAGGCAAGCACUGUGAAUACGUGGUAUGGCAGCAGCUCCAAAGCCAGUGAGGACUCAGCAAGAGAGCAAUGGUUACUGAUCAGAUGCUCUCUGUCAACUGCAUGGCACAUGAAAUGAACUGUAUCAUAAUAAUUUUAAGUUGGGAAGAAGCCUGAGUCAACUUAAGCUAGAUGAUAUGAAGAUUGCUGAGAAAUGUGGAUCUACACCGCUUGAAAGCACAGG